CCUACGGGAGGCAGCAGUGGGGAAUAUUGGACAAUGGGGGCAACCCUGAUCCAGCAACGCCGCGUGAAUGAAGAAGGAUUUCGGGAUGUAAAGUUCUUUCAAGAGGGAAGAGAAGAAGACCGUAACCUUUCUAUGAGCCCCGGGUUACCUACUGGCAAGCGGCCGCGGUAAUACGUAGGGGGCAAGCGUUAUCCGGAUUUACGGGGUGUAAGGGGGGAGUAGAGGGCGUUGCAAGUCUGAUGUGAAAGCCGGGGGCUCAACCCCGGAACUGCUUUGGAAACUGUAUGGCUGGAGUACCGGAGAGGCAAGCGGAAUUCCUAGUGUAGCGGUGAAAUGCGUAGAUAUUAGGAGGAACACCAGUGGCGAAGGCGGCCUGCUGGACGGUAACUGACGUUGAGGCUCGAAAGCGUGGGGAGCAAACAGGAUUAGAUACCCUGGUAGUC
rnacentral:rRNA from 1 species